rnacentral:misc_RNA from 1 species
AUUAAAGAAAUAUUAAAACACUGAUUUGGCGUUGUGCAGCUAACAAGACUUAAUUUGUCAAGCAAUAUAAAAAAAUAACUUCCAACAACGGAUCUCUUGGCUCUCGUACCGAUGAAGAACGCAGCAAAAUUGCGAUACGUAUCAUGAUCUGCAAACGUGAAUCAUUAAUCUUUGAACGCACAUGGCGCGCCCUGGCGCAUGCGGGGUGGAGCAUACAUUUUCUCCUCAGGGCCUUAGAAUCAACAGUCAGAAAACAAGUUCUCGACUUUUUUGUUUCUCCCCCCCGUAAGACUACCCGCUGAACUUAAGCAUAUCAAUAAGCGGAGGA